AUUCAACUGCUCCCUUUGAAUUAGUGUUUUUUUUUUUGAGAAAUAGAUAGCGAGCUACCUGUUUCAUUUAUUAAGUUAAAUGAACUGGGCAUAUAUGUUGGAAGCAGCUUGGGCUUCCAAGAAACAGGCAAAAAUACAGGCAAAAAAAGAAGUAACAAGCAUAAGAAGAGCGUAGAGGCUAGGGAGGAAAAGAAAUAAAGAAAAGAAGAAGGGGUAGAGGAUCGCUUUUAAAGCACAGCUGACCAGCUACUGGUGAGAAGUUUGACGCACUCUAGCGACCUUGAAGCAUUGGGUACAGAUCCACGGAAGGUAGAUU
rnacentral:lncRNA from 1 species